rnacentral:rRNA from 1 species
CUAUUAAUUGUAGACCCGCAUGAAAGGCAAAAUGAGGGCCUAACUGUCUCUUGUAGUACGUCAAUUAAACUGAUCUUCUAGUCCAAAAGCUAGAAUACCCACAUAAGACCAGAAGACCCUGUGAAGCUUAAACUAAACUAUUAAACCUUAUAAUAGCUCCUUUCGGUUGGGGCGACCUUGGAAAAAAAAAGAACUUCCAAUGCAGAAUCCUAUAAAUUCCACCGGGCCGACAGGCCACUAAUUAGACCCAGCACAGCUGACAAUUGAACCAAGUUACUCCAGGGAUAACAGCGCUAUCUUCUUCAAGAGCCCAUAUCAAAAAGAAGGUUUACGACCUCGAUGUUGGAUCAGGACAUCCUGAUGGUGCAGCCGCUAUCAAAGGUUCGUUUGUUCAACGAUUAAUAGU